UAGAAUCAAUUAAUCCUAAAGCACUAUCAUGUCGUUGUAGUACUGAAGGUUGUCAAUCCAAAUGGGUGUGAUGCUAACAAUCAAGAUGUCAUCAGAAGUCACAAAGUCAAGCCAAGCAAUAACAGGUUUUGGUGUGUUUUAGCAGUUCUAAGUGAACAUGCAGAAAACAGAAAAUAAAACAGAAACAGUAAAAUACUCGACCAACACAUCUCUUUGCAGAGCACUGGGUGAGGUCGAGUGACAGGUCGAGUAACAGACAGAAAGUAUAACACAGAUACUCGACUGUACAAUCUGUUGCCAGACAACUGGGUGGUCGAGUAUGAGGUCGAGUAACAAGAAAGAAUUGCAGAAAUUAAGCAACAGAUGACAAGAUGCAGUAAACAACAGUAGAGUAAACAAAGAAUUCAAUCAGAUAAAGAAUUCCCGAGGAUGGGGUAAUUGAGUAGUUUCGUUUCCUCAGUUUACAGGUGAUUGACAUGCUCAAUAAAUUAUCCCUAGACAACAAGUUCAUUAACCAAAUCUAAGUGCCACCGCAAUAGAGACCCUCAAGUUAUCCUAGUCCCAUACUCAAUCACCAUUGACGAGAGCUAACCUAACAGACAUUACGAAUCAACAAGUUAAAGCCAAAAUACUCCCUGCAACCAAUACCUUGAUACAGGGCCACGAAUCUCUGGAAUUAGUGGUUCGGACAUUUCAUCGAACACCUUUUGGGCGCGAAGAUGUCUGGGCUCAAAUUCCAGUUGAUCAGAAAGCAAUAGGCAUUAAGAACAACUAAUCCAGAAGGGAUCUAUCAAUCAAUACUCAAUCACCUAGCAUACUGAACAUUCUACACUACUCUAACCCAUCCUCAGAAGCCUAUCCACUACUCAGACAUCAUAGCAGAAAGCAUAAACGAAGAACAAGAUGAAAACAUGAUAACGACGGUGUAACAGCAGGAUGAUAACAGAAUGAACAAUAGUAAACGAAAAUCAAGAACAAAUACUGAAUACUGAAUAGAUAAAGAGAAAUCCGGAUUACAAAGGUCUAGAACACAGUGUCUGCGGAAUAAAACUAGAUAAAAACUUGUUUGCGAAAAUGUGAAGUACAUGCUACUUAUAGCCAAAUAUUCCGAAACCCUAAUACUUAAAACGACGAAGUAUUGGGAUGGAUUAAGAAGUGUACUCGACCCAUGUGGUCGAGUGAGAGGUCGAGUGAAUAGCUGGAGUCUUCUUUUCUUCCUUCUACUCGAGUGUCUGGUUGAGUGCGGAAUGAAGAAGACUCUGAAGCUCGCAAUCAAGUAUGUAGUCGAGUGGUGGUGAUGGUGAUACUCGACUUCAAGGUAGAGUGGUGAGAUCGAGUAGUGGUCUGGUAAUGGAGGUGAAGAUACUCGACCUCGGGGUCGAGUGAUGUGAUCGAGUGAUGGUCAGGUGAUGGGAAUGAAGACACUCGACCGCGAGGUCGAGUGUCUUCUACUCGACCAGGGGGUCGAGUGGUCUGCUGAGGUUGUGAAGCUUCUACUCGACCUGAGGUCGAGUGGUUUUGCAUGAUCAGGUCCGCUUCUUCCAAUUAGCUCGUCAACAGCUCCGAAUCACCUGAAAACAACACAAAUAUGCAACAUGCAUGCAAAACUAUCCUAAAAAUGCAAAGUGAUGACAAAUGAUGAGAAAUGGUAUAAAACAGUGAUGAUAUGAUGCUAAAGUGAUGACAAAUGGAUUCUCAAAACAUGCAAAAUUCACACUUAUCAGCCGGCUCUUGAGUUCAGCAAUAGGGUCAUUU
rnacentral:sRNA from 1 species